GUUAGCUCAGUUGGUAGAGCAGUUGACUUUUAAUCAAUUGGUCGCAGGUUCGAAUCCUGCACGAC
rnacentral:tRNA from 1 species